AACCUAUGAUGUGGACAAGUGCUUAGUAAAUCCUUGAAUCGCUCCCAGCAAGCCUAAAAUGUCUCGUCAUAUUGCUGCACAAAAUUAAGAAUCUGUUCUUGUAGAAAU